rnacentral:rRNA from 1 species
AUUGAACGCUGGCGGCAGGCCUAACACAUGCAAGUCGAGCGGAUGACGGGAGCUUGCUCCUUGAUUCAGCGGCGGACGGGUGAGUAAUGCCUAGGAAUCUGCCUGGUAGUGGGGGACAACGUUUCGAAAGGAACGCUAAUACCGCAUACGUCCUACGGGAGAAAGCAGGGGACCUUCGGGCCUUGCGCUAUCAGAUGAGCCUAGGUCGGAUUAGCUAGUUGGUGGGGACAUGGCUCACCAAGGCGACGAUCCGUAACUGGUCUGCGAGGAUGAUCAGUCACACUGGAACUGAGACACGGUCCAGACUCCGACGGGAGGCAGCAGUGGGGAAUAUUGGACAAUGGGCGAAAGCCUGAUCCAGCCAUGCCGCGUGUGUGAAGAAGGUCUUCGGAUUGUAAAGCACUGUAAGUUGGGAGGAAGGGCAGUAAGUUAAUACCUUGCUGUUUUGACGUUACCGACAGAAUAAGCACCGGCUAACUCUGUGCCAGCCGCCGCGGUAACAC